GAAACGCCCGGUCCCAUUCCGAACCCGGAAGCUAAGCCCUCCAGCGCCGAUGGUACUGCACCCGACAGGGUGUGGGAGAGUAGGACACCGCCGAAC
rnacentral:rRNA from 1 species